rnacentral:misc_RNA from 1 species
GAAAUGCGAUAAGUAGUGUGAAUUGCAGAAUUCAGUGAAUCAUCGAAUCUUUGAACGCACAUUGCGCCCCUUGGUAUUCCAUGGGGCAUGCCUGUUCGAGCGUCAUUUGUACCCUCAAGCUCUGCUUGGUGUUGGGUGUUUGUCCCCGUCUCCGCGCGUGGACUCGCCCCAAAGUGAUUGGCAGCAGGCGUACUGGUCCCGGAGCGCAGCACAUGUCGCGCAAACGAGUGCCUUGGUACGGCGGCGUCCAUCAGCCCCUCUCUCACGCUCUUGACCUCGGAUCAGGUAGGGAUACCCGCUGAACUUAAGC